UUCAGGGGUAAACCUGAGAAACCCGAAAGGUCGAAAGGGGAGAUUCAGCGUGUCUCGAUCGUGGCGCUGGACGGUCGUGCGACGGACGGCGUACGCGUCGUCCGCGCCUUUCGUCCUCCGAACUGCGGUCGAACGCGUGCACUUCUCCCCCUGUAGGACGUCGCGAUUCGUCGGGUGUCGGCCUAAGGCUCGAGGUGGAGUUCGUUCGGACGUUUCGGCGUUCGUGACGAACCCUCGGUGUUUCCCGGUCGGCUCGCUCGACGAUAUACAGAUGGCGCGGGGCCGCUACGUUAGUUAGCGUUCGACCUUCGGCAAGCGCGCUCCUCGCGACGGUGAUCGGACCCGGUGCCGGUCCCGUCCCCGGGCGACUGUUGGCCGAGGUGUUCUCGAACAGACCUCGUUUUGAAACGCCGAUCUGCGACGCUAUAGCUUUGGGUACUUUC
rnacentral:rRNA from 1 species